GACGAACGCUGGCGGCGUGCCUAAUACAUGCAAGUAGAACGCACAGGAUGCACCGUAGUUUACUACACCGUAUUCUGUGAGUUGCGAACGGGUGAGUAACGCGUAGGUAACCUGCCUGGUAGCGGGGGAUAACUAUUGGAAACGAUAGCUAAUACCGCAUAAGAACAUUUACUGCAUGGUAGAUGUUUAAAAGGUGCAAAUGCAUCACUACCAGAUGGACCUGCGUUGUAUUAGCUAGUAGGUGAGGUAACGGCUCACCUAGGCGACGAUACAUAGCCGACCUGAGAGGGUGGUCGGCCACACUGGGACUGAGACACGGCCCAGACUCCUACGGGAGGCAGCAGUAGGGAAUCUUCGGCAAUGGGGGGAACCCUGACCGAGCAACGCCGCGUGAGUGAAGAAGGUUUUCGGAUCGUAAAGCUCUGUUGUUAAGGAAGAAAGAGUGUGAGAAUGGAAAGUUCAUACUGUGACGGUACUUAACCAGAAAGGGACGGCUAACUACGUG
rnacentral:rRNA from 1 species